GAUCAUAGCUCAGGAUGAACGCUAGCUACAGGCUUAACACAUGCAAGUCGAGGGGCAGCAUGAGAGGAACUUCGGUUCUUUUUGAUGGCGACCGGCGCACGGGUGCGUAACGCGUAUCGAACCUGCCUCAUACUCGGGGAUAGCCUUGCGAAAGUAAGAUUAAUACCCGGCGGUCUCGGACGGCCGCAUGACAGUCUGAGUGAAGAUUUAUCGGUAUGAGAUGGCGAUGCCG
rnacentral:rRNA from 1 species